AGACCCGAAACCCGGUGAUCUAGCCAUGGGCAGGUUGAAGGUUGGGUAACACUAACUGGAGGACCGAACCGACUAAUGUUGAAAAAUUAGCGGAUGACCUGUGGCUGGGGGUGAAAGGCCAAUCAAACCGGGAGAUAGCUGGUUCUCCCCGAAAGCUAUUUAGGUAGCGCCUCGUGAAUUCAUCUCCGGGGGUAGAGCACUGUUUCGGCUAGGGGGCCAUCCCGGCUUACCAACCCGAUGCAAACUGCGAAUACCGGAGAAUGUUAUCACGGGAGACACACGGCGGGUGCUAACGUCCGUCGUGAAGAGGGAAACAACCCAGACCGCCAGCUAAGGUCCCAAAGUCAUGGUUAAGUGGGAAACGAUGUGGGAAGGCCCAGACAGCCAGGAUGUUGGCUUAGAAGCAGCCAUCAUUUAAAGAAAGCGUAAUAGCUCACUGGUCGAGUCGGCCUGCGCGGAAGAUGUAACGGGGCUAAACCAUGCACCGAAGCUGCGGCAGCGACGCUUAUGCGUUGUUGGGUAGGGGAGCGUUCUGUAAGCCUGUGAAGGUGGCCUGUGAGGGUUGCUGGAGGUAUCAGAAGUGCGAAUGCUGACAUAAGUAACGAUAAAGCGGGUGAAAAGCCCGCUCGCCGGAAGACCAAGGGUUCCUGUCCAACGUUAAUCGGGGCAGGGUGAGUCGACCCCUAAGGCGAGGCCGAAAGGCGUAGUCGAUGGGAAACGGGUUAAUAUUCCCGUACUUGGUGUUACUGCGAAGGGGGGACGGAGAAGGCUAUGUUGGCCGGGCGACGGUUGUCCCGGUUUAAGCGUGUAGGUGUGUGUUCCAGGUAAAUCCGGUUCACUUUAACACUGAGGCGUGACGACGAGGCACUACGGUGCUGAAGCAACAAAUGCCCUGCUUCCAGGAAAAGCCUCUAAGCAUCAGGUAACAUCAAAUCGUACCCCAAACCGACACAGGUGGUCAGGUAGAGAAUACCAAGGCGCUUGAGAGAACUCGGGUGAAGGAACUAGGCAAAAUGGUGCCGUAACUUCGGGAGAAGGCACGCUGACACGUAGGUGAAGUGAUUUACUCAUGGAGCUGAAGUCAGUCGAAGAUACCAGCUGGCUGCAACUGUUUAUUAAAAACACAGCACUGUGCAAACACGAAAGUGGACGUAUACGGUGUGACGCCUGCCCGGUGCCGGAAGGUUAAUUGAUGGGGUCAGCGCAAGCGAAGCUCCUGAUCGAAGCCCCGGUAAACGGCGGCCGUAACUAUAACGGUCCUAAGGUAGCGAAAUUCCUUGUCGGGUAAGUUCCGACCUGCACGAAUGGCGUAAUGAUGGCCAGGCUGUCUCCACCCGAGACUCAGUGAAAUUGAACUCGCUGUGAAGAUGCAGUGUACCCGCGGCAAGACGGAAAGACCCCGUGAACCUUUACUAUAGCUUGACACUGAACAUUGAGCCUUGAUGUGUAGGAUAGGUGGGAGGCUUUGAAGUGUGGACGCCAGUCUGCAUGGAGCCGACCUUGAAAUACCACCCUUUAAUGUUUGAUGUUCUAACGUGGACCCGUGAUCCGGGUUGCGGACAGUGUCUGGUGGGUAGUUUGACUGGGGCGGUCUCCUCCUAAAGAGUAACGGAGGAGCACGAAGGUUGGCUAAUCCUGGUCGGACAUCAGGAGGUUAGUGCAAUGGCAUAAGCCAGCUUGACUGCGAGCGUGACGGCGCGAGCAGGUGCGAAAGCAGGUCAUAGUGAUCCGGUGGUUCUGAAUGGAAGGGCCAUCGCUCAACGGAUAAAAGGUACUCCGGGGAUAACAGGCUGAUACCGCCCAAGAGUUCAUAUCGACGGCGGUGUUUGGCACCUCGAUGUCGGCUCAUCACAUCCUGGGGCUGAAGUAGGUCCCAAGGGUAUGGCUGUUCGCCAUUUAAAGUGGUACGCGAGCUGGGUUUAGAACGUCGUGAGACAGUUCGGUCCCUA
rnacentral:rRNA from 1 species